rnacentral:rRNA from 1 species
UAACUAAGACAACUCUCAACAACGGAUAUCUUGGCUCUCGCAACGAUGAAGAACGCAGCGAAAUGCGAUACGUAGUGUGAAUUGCAGAAUUCCGUGAACCAUCGAAUCUUUGAACGCAUAUUGCGCCCGAGGUUUCGGCCAAGGGCAUGUCUGCCUCAGCGUCGGCA